rnacentral:rRNA from 1 species
CCUACGGGAGGCAGCAGUGAGGGAUAUUGGUCAAUGGACGAGAGUCUGAACCAGCCAAGUAGCGUGAAGGAUGACUGCCCUAUGGGUUGUAAACUUCUUUUAUAUGGGAAUAAAAUGUUCCACGUGUGGGAUUUUGUAUGUACCAUAUGAAUAAGGAUCGGCUAACUCCGUGCCAGCAGCCGCGGUAAUACGGAGGAUCCGAGCGUUAUCCGGAUUUAUUGGGUUUAAAGGGAGCGUAGGUGGAUUGUUAAGUCAGUUGUGAAAGUUUGCGGCUCAACCGUAAAAUUGCAGUUGAAACUGGCAGUCUUGAGUACAGUAGAGGUGGGCGGAAUUCGUGGUGUAGCGGUGAAAUGCUUAGAUAUCACAAAGAACUCCGAUUGCGAAGGCAGUUCACUGGACUGCAACUGACACUGAGGCUCGAAAGUGUGGGUAUCAAACAGGAUUAGAUACCCCUGUAGUC